rnacentral:rRNA from 1 species
UACGGGGGGGGCAAGCGUUGUUCGGAAUUACUGGGCGUAAAGGGCUCGUAGGCGGCCAACUAAGUCAGACGUGAAAUCCCUCGGCUUAACCGGGGAACUGCAUCUGAUACUGGAUGGCUUGAGUUCGGGAGAGGGAUGCGGAAUUCCAGGUGUAGCGGUGAAAUGCGCAGAUAUCAGGAGGAACACCUAUUGCGAAGGCAGCUCGCUGGGACGUUACUGACGCUGAGACGCGAAAGCGUGGGGAGCAAACAGG